UAUUUACUAUUACUAUAUAAAAAACAUUUAUAUAAGUAUGUAUACAAAACAAAAACAUAUAUACAUACAUAUGUGGAAAAAAUAAAAAGAAAAGCCUAAAAAAAUGGAAAAAAAUAUAAUCAUUGUAAAAUCCUAUAUUAUGUAUUUAUAUUCAUUAUAUAUUCUACCAAAACUCUGUGAAUGAGGAACAAAAACAAAAAAAAAAAGAAUUAUAAUAUCAACGGCAGCUUUUUUUUUAAUUAUAAAGUCAACAGACUGUGGAAACUUCUUUUUUUAACAAAAAAAAAAAAAAAAAUAUUACAUAUGCAAUGUUGCUUGUUCAUCAACGUCAUCAUCAUCAUCAACUACUCCACUACUUCUAGAGAAUAUAAACAGAGGGAUUAUUAUGAUGAAACUCAUAUUUGAAAAAAAUAUAUAAUUUGUUUUAUUUUAUUCGACAAGAUUGCUUUGGCUCACCAUUCUUCAAUGCCUGCAUAGAGGCGUUACAAUUGCAUGAGGAAAUGGAUAAAUAUAAUGAAUGGCGUGAUACCUUGGGCAAAAAGUAAAUGGUUAACAGCAACUUAUAUAUAAACGGUCUAUAACUCUAACAAACUCCCGCUUACUCAUCCCUGCAAACAACAAACAAAAUUCUACAAUAUUCCAGAAACAAUGGUUUAACAGAAAAUACUAUUAAAAAAAAUACAAAAAAAAAAAGUAUUAUAAAAUUUUUUUUUAUUUAAAUAUUAUAAUAAUUUUGAAUUAUAUUAAAAGAAAUAGGUACCUAAAAAAAUGUUUGUUUUAGAAAAAAAUU